GGAGCGGACGGCGGGGCCCAGGCCCGAGGCCAGGGCGAUGGGCGCAGGAGGCUCCGCUCAGGUGCCGGUGGCGUUUGAGGAUGUCGCGGUCUAUUUCUCCCUGGAAGAGUGGGCAGCGUUGGCCAAAUGGCAGAGGGAGCUGUACCGGGACGUGAUGAAGGAGAAUUACGAGCUGGUGGCUUCAUUGGGGCAUCCUGCUGUCAAACCUGAGAUCAUCUGCCAGAUGGAGCGAGGGGAAGAGCCAUGUGUGGGGAAUCUCUGGGGCUGGAAAGACAGAAGCACAGCCCAGAACCCCUGCUUAGCAGAUGGUGAGAUGAAGGAUGACGAUGAGGAAGGUACUAGAACCCUGGAUCUUCCCAAGACAUCCCCAGGACAGACUGGAGGGGACCUCCACCAGCACUCAAGGAAAAAGCAAAGAUGCAAGAGUCAGAGCAAAUCACAAAAGCAGCGGAGAAAUGUCAUGCAAAAAAAACUCCUGCCCCUCCCCAGGCCCCAGAAAACACUGCUACAGAGACAGGAUGCAGAGCAGAGACAUGAAGACAGCCAGCAGGAUCAGACACACCUGACUGCCCAGCAGGGAGAGCCCACAGGGAGGAAACCAUUCACAUGCCCUGAAUGCGGAAGGAGCUGUGCGACGAAGGGCAACCUCAAAAUGCACCAGCGAGUGCACACGGGGGAGGGGCUGUUUCCCUGCAGCCAGUGUGAGAAAUGCUUUGCCACCAAGGGCAACCUCAAAAUGCACCAGCAGAUCCACAAGGGGGAGCGGCCCUUCGUGUGCACCGAGUCCGGCCAGGGCUUCAUUCAGAACAAAUUUCUGAAACUGCACAAGAGGCUGCACAAGGGAGAACAUCCGUUCCCCUGCCCUGAAUGCGGGAAACGCUUCAUCAGCAAGGCCAUUCUGAAGGUGCAUGGCAGGACACACAGCAGGGAGCGGCUGUUCCCGUGCACUGAGUGUGGGAAACGUUUCACCAGGAAAGACAUCCUCAAAAUGCACCAGAGGGUGCACACGGGGGAGCGGCCUUUCCAGUGUGCAGAGUGUGGGAAGAGCUUCACUCAGAAGGUGAAUCUCCUGACACACCAGCGGUGCCACACGGGGGAGCGCCCGUUCACCUGCUGUCAGUGCGGGAAGAGCUUUGCCCAGAAGGCCACACUCAGCACACACCAGAAAAGCCACGUGCGUGAGAGGCUCUUUGCAUGUGCUGAAUGCAAGGAGAGCUUUGUCUCCAACAGGGACCUCACGAUGCACCAGAGGCUCCACACCAGGGAGCGCUCAUACAUGUGCAGCCAGUGUGGGAAAUGCUUCACGCAGCCGGGCAACCUCCUGACGCACCAGCGAGUGCACACAGGGGAGCGGCCGUUCACCUGCACUCAGUGCGAGAAAAGCUUCACCACCAACGGCAACCUCAAAAUGCACCAGCGGAUCCACACGGGGGAGCGGCCCUUCGCAUGCACCGAGUGUGGAAAGGGCUUCACCGCCAAGGGGACGCUGCAGAAACACCAGAGAGUCCACACGAGGUGGAAGUAGCUCGCGUGUGCCAGCCCGAAUCUGGAAGGGCUUUCCCAGCCUGUACUCCAGCAAGACUCCCACUGACACAGGAAUGACCACGCUGGAUCAGACCCAAGGUCCCACCAGCCCAGCUGCUCUGAUAGUGAGCAGCACCAGAUGCAUUGGAGGAAGGUGUAAGAAUUGCACACUAGGCAAAUGUAGGAUAAUCUGCCCCUCUACUCCUGGCCAAUAUUAGGUCUCCUCCUAAUCAUUAGAAAGUUGCUUAAACCCUGAAGUACAAGGUUUAAUAUCCCUUCAAAAUAUCUGUUAGCAUUAAUUAUAACUCUGGAUAUCUUUGUUCAAUAAAUGUUUUUAACCUUUUCUAAAUUCUUGCCCUUAACAGCGUCCUGCAGUAAUGAGUUCCACAGUUUAAUUGCACCCUGUGUGAAAGUCUUUCCUUUUUAUCAGUUUUCAAUUUGCCACUUUUUAAUUCCUUUGAAUGUCCCUUUUAUGUUAUGACAAAGGGAGAACAGAACUCUGUGCAGCUAGCAACCCAGCACACCACCAUGGAACUGCCCACAAAGAGCACAAGACUCGCUUUGUAGCAAAGGCACCUAGCCAGGUUUAUUGUCGACGAAGCAUGGUCCUAGCUCCCUGGAUCAGUGUCUACAGGUACACUAGCGCAUGUAUGCCCAUAACAGUGGACCAGCUCAGUGAGCGGCAGGACUUUCCAUUCCCCCCUCGCCUGGCCAAAGACACCCCUUCUGUGACCCUUCUUUUAUAUGCUGAUACAAACCAGUUACGUAUUGCCCCUCCGACAUGGUUAGUGACUACGCUUUACCUUGUGCAUCAGACAUUUCUGCCUGUCAUCCUGUCCUUCUCUUUAGAAGGGGAUCAGUGUGUCCUUGUAUCAUCUUAAGGGAGUGCGUUUACACCACAA